rnacentral:rRNA from 1 species
AAUGAACGUUGGCGGCAGGCCUAACACAUGCAAGUCGAACGGUAACAGGAAACAGCUUGCUGUUUCGCUGACGAGUGGCGGACGGGUGAGUAAUGUCUGGGAAACUGCCUGAUGGAGGGGGAUAACUACUGGAAACGGUAGCUAAUACCGCAUAACGUCGCAAGACCAAAGAGGGGGACCUUCGGGCCUCUUGCCAUCGGAUGUGCCCAGAUGGGAUUAGCUAGUAGGUGGGGUAACGGCUCACCUAGGCGACGAUCCCUAGCUGGUCUGAGAGGAUGACCAGCCACACUGGAACUGAGACACGGUCCAGACUCCUACGGGAGGCAGCAGUGGGGAAUAUUGCACAAUGGGCGCAAGCCUGAUGCAGCCAUGCCGCGUGUAUGAAGAAGGCCUUCGGGUUGUAAAGUACUUUCAGCGGGGAGGAAGGGAGUAAAGUCAAUACCUUUGCUCAUUGACGUUACCCGCAGAAGAAGCACCGGCUAACUCCGUGCCAGCCGCCGCCGUAA